rnacentral:tRNA from 1 species
GGGUCUGUGGUUUAGUGGUAUAAUACUCCCUUAGCAUGGGAGUGGUCCGGGGUUCGGUUAGUAGUCCUCAAGUUCGAAUCCUCUGAACGUCAUUCUAACAUUCAAAAAGAUUCCCCGCGGAUCCA